rnacentral:rRNA from 1 species
AUUGAACGCUGGCGGAAUGCUUUACACAUGCCAGUCGAACGGCAGCACGGGGGCAGCCCUGGUGGCGAGUGGCUAACGGGUGAGUAAUACAUCGGAACGUGCCCGGUCGUGGGGGAUAACGUAGCGAAAGUUACGCUAAUACCGCAUACGAUCUGAGGACGACAGCGGGGGACCUUCGUGCCUCGCGCGCUCGGAGCGGCCGAUGUCAGAUUAGGUAGUUGGUGGGGUAAAGGCCUACCAAGCCGACGAUCUGUAGCUGGUCUGAGAGGACGACCAGCCACACUGGGACUGAGACACGGCGCAGACUCCUACGGGAGGCAGCAGUGGGGAAUUUUGGACAAUGGGCGCAAGCCUGAUCCAGCCAUUCCGCGUGCAGGACGAAGGCCUUCGGGUUGUAAGCUGCUUGUGUACGGAACGAAAAGGCUCUGGCUAAUACCUGGGGCUCAUGACGGUACCGUAAGAAUAAGCACCGGCUAACUACGUG